ACACGUGAACUAAUUGACAUGCUAGACUUUAAAAUGUUCAAAUUAAGAUGGGAAGAUUAAAAAAAUUUUGAAUAUUCUUGUUGUUUAAGGCUGUGUCAAUGGGCAAGCUAUAAAGAUGCAAACAAAACCUAUCAAUUUCAUAUACAGACAGUGUAUCCUAGGAUAGGAUCUCAAGAAAAAAUUCAAGUCAACUAAACUUUAAUCACAAUCCAGUUGGUGUCAAUUACAUGGAUCCUCAUAAUCAUAAAAAAUAAGAUAUUAUAUCUACCUUGCUUGCUCAUCACUAUAAA
rnacentral:misc_RNA from 1 species